rnacentral:rRNA from 1 species
GACGAACUGCCCAAACGUUGUUCGGAAUCACUGGGCUUAAAGGGCGCGUAGGCGGCGAAUCAAGUCAGGGGUGAAAGCCGGCAGCUUAACUGUCGAAGUGCCUUUGAUACUGAUUCGCUCGAGGGAGAUAGGGGUCUGCGGAACUUCUGGUGGAGCGGUGAAAUGCGUUGAUAUCAGAAGGAACGCCGGUGGCGAAAGCGGCGGACUGGAUCUCUUCUGACGCUGAGGCGCGAAAGCUAGGGGAGCAAACGGG